UGAGGAAUAUUGGACAAUGGGAGCAAUCCUGAUCCAGCCAUGCCGCGUGCAGGAAGACAGUUCUAUGGAUUGUAAACUGCUUUUAUACAGGAAGAAAAAACAUAACGUGUUGUGUAUUGACGGUACUGUAUGAAUAAGAAUCGGCUAACUCCGUGCCAGCAGCCGCGGUAAUACGGAGGAUUCGAGCGUUAUCCGGAAUCAUUGGGUUUAAAGGGUUCGUAGGCGGGGCGAUAAGUCAGUGGUGAAAGUUUGUGGCUCAACCAUAAAAUUGCCAUUGAUACUGUUGUUCUUGAGUUAUUGUGAAGUGGUUAGAAUGUGUAGUGUAGCGGUGAAAUGCAUAGAUAUUACACAGAACACCAAUUGCGAAGGCAUAUCACUAACAAUAUACUGACGCUGAUGAACGAAAGCGUAGGUAGCGAACA
rnacentral:rRNA from 1 species